GGGGAGCGAACAGGAUUAGAUACCGUGGUAAGUCCACGCCGUAAACGUUGGGCACUAGGUGUGGGGGACAUUCCACGUUUUCCGCGCCGUAGCUAACGCAUUAAGUGCCCCGCCUGGGGGAGUACGGCCGCAAGGCUAAAACUCAAAGGAAUUGACGGGGGCCCGCACAAGCGGCGGAGCAUGCGGAUUAAUUCGAUGCAACGCGAAGAACCUUACCAAGGCUUGACAUGUUCCAGACCGGGCCAGAGAUGGUCUUUCCCCUUUUGGGGCUGGUUCACAGGUGGUGCAUGGGUUGUCGUCAGCUCGUGUCGUGAGAUGUUGGGUUAAGUCCCGCAACGAGCGCAACCCUCGUUCCAUGUUGCCAGCGGGUUAUGCCGGGGGACUCAUGGGAGACUGCCGGGGUCAACUCGGAGGAAGGUGGGGAUGACGUCAAAUCAUCAUGCCCCUUAUGUCUUGGGCUUCACGCCAUGCUACAAUGGCCGGUACAAUGGGUUGCGAUACUGUGAGGUGGAGCUAAUCCCUAAAAGCCGGUCUCAGUUCGGAUUGGGGUCUGCCAACUCGACCCCAUGAAGUCGGAGUCGCUAGUAAUCGCAGAUCAGCAACGCUGCGGUGAAUACGUUCCCGGGCCUUGUACACACCGCCCCGUCAAGUCACGAAAGUUGGUAACACCCGAAGCCGAUGGCCUAACCACCUUGUGUGGGGGGAGU
rnacentral:rRNA from 1 species